AUUGAACGCUGGCGGCAUGCCUUACACAUGCAAGUCGAACGGCAGCACGGGAGCAAUCCUGGUGGCGAGUGGCGAACGGGUGAGUAAUAUAUCGGAACGUGCCCAGUCGUGGGGGAUAACGCAGCGAAAGCUGUGCUAAUACCGCAUACGAUCUAUGGAUGAAAGCGGGGGAUCGCAGGACCUCGCGCGAUUGGAGCGGCCGAUAUCAGAUUAGCUAGUUGGUGAGGUAAAGGCUCACCAAGGCGACGAUCUGUAGCUGGUCUGAGAGGACGACCAGCCACACUGGAACUGAGACACGGUCCAGACUCCUACGGGAGGCAGCAGUGGGGAAUUUUGGACGAUGGGCGAAAGCCUGAUCCAGCAAUGCCGCGUGCAGGAUGAAGGCCUUCGGGUUGUAAACUGCUUUUGUACGGAACGAAACGGUGAGCUCUAAUACAGUUUGCUAAUGACGGUACCGUAAGAAUAAGCACCGGCUAACUACGUGCCAGCCGCCGCGGUAA
rnacentral:rRNA from 1 species